rnacentral:rRNA from 1 species
UACGGAGGGGGCUAGCGUUGUUCGGAAUUACUGGGCGUAAAGGGCGCGUAGGCGGCGCGAUAAGUUGGGCGUGAAAGGCCCGGGCUCAACCCGGGGACUGCGCUUGAUACUGUCGCGCUGUGAGUCCGGGAGAGGAUGGCGGAAUUCCCAGUGUAGAGGUGAAAUUCGUAGAUAUUGGGAAGAACACCGGUGGCGAAGGCGGCCACCUGGUCCUUGACUGACGCUGAGGCGCGAAAGCGUGGGGAGCAAACAGG